AUAGACAAGUUUACCGGCCGUUUCCGCUCUACUUCCUAAACUCCUCCCCUGUAAGUAGUUCACUUCCGUUUUUGGGUUUUUCCAUUGAAAACAGUGGCAACAUUGCUCCGAAAAAGAGGGACAAAAUGGAUAUUUCUAAGAAAAAAAGUGGUUCGGGAACGACAUGUCUCGGCAGUUGGAUGUAGUAACUCUAGGAAGCACCUGAAGGAGUGGUUGGAUAGAGACUGCUGCAACCACAAACCAGCUUCAAAGAGACACGUCCAAUGCGCCGCUUUGUUUACCUUUUUUCUGAAGCCACGGACCGGGCUGAAGGCAUUACAUCUAAAAAACCACCGCGCAACAUUUUUGUUUGUUCACACCACUUUGUUGACAAAAAAACAACAAAGGAUAAUCCAUUCCCUGAGUUGUGGUUGGUUUAUAAUCGCUCUCCCCAGCCAGAGAGGAGUAAACUCAGCCGGCGGAUCCGCUGCCUCCCCCGGAGAAAAAACACGGAUCUGAGGAAGGUCCUGAAACCUGUCACCUGAGGCCGAGCCUGCUACACAAGUGAUGUUGUUCAUUAAAUAAAGAUAAACAACAAA